GCGGGCGUGGUGGAAUUGGUAGACACGCAAGAUUUAGGUUCUUGUGGCGCAAGUCGUGGGGGUUCAAGUCCCUCCGCCCGCACCA
rnacentral:tRNA from 2 species